AACGAACGCUGGCGGCAUGCCUAACACAUGCAAGUCGAACGAGACCUCCGGGGCUUUUGUCGCACGGCUGCGUAACGCGUGGGAACCUGCCCUUGGGUUCGGAAUAACUCCCCGAAAGGGGUGCUAAUACCGGAUAAUGUCUUCGGACCAAAGAUUUAUCGCCUUUGGUUGGGCCCUCGUUGGAUUAGCUAGUUGGUAGGGUAAAAGCCUACUAAGGCGACGAUGCAUAGCUGGGCUGAGAGGAUGAUCAGCCACACUGGGACUGAGACACGGCCCAGACUCCUACGGGAGGCAGCAGUGGGGAAUAUUGGACAAUGGGGGAAAGCCUGAUCCAGCAAUGCCGCGUGAGUGAUGAAGGCCUUAGGGUUGUAAAGCUCUUUUACCCGGGAUGAUAUUGACAGUACCGGGAGAAUAAGCUACGGCUAACUCCGUG
rnacentral:rRNA from 1 species